AGGUUAAAAGUUUUAGCUUUUUAUUUUUGGACUUUUUUGGACUUUUGGAUUACGGGAGUUACUGUGCAUGACUGUAAAUCUCCUCUAUUGGGCUGCCUCCAGAAACACUGCGACCAAUCAGGAACCUCCACCGUGCCCCAUCCCCCAGCAAGCUCCUCGGCCCAGUCUGAGCAGCCAGUCAGGGGGCCACUGAGCUGUGGCACGUCGAACCGCAUUACCCAAAAUUCCCUGUGUAUCCCCAAGGCUCGACUACGUUGGGAGUGUGUUGUGUCGUCUGAGGCCUGUCUGCAAGGUAGCCUCAUUUUUCAUCUGCUGUUCUGUCUCUUCCUCUCCCCCCCAAUCCCUCUUUCUCCCUCUCCCUCUGUGCAACCUCUCAGCCUGCCUUUCUCCAGCUAAAUUUGGCAUGUAUCCCUUUAGUGUAUGCUUUUGUGUCCCGCUGUAUGUGUUUGCCAGUGGCCUGCUGUCCUUUUGCUUUCCCCUACAGUACCUUUCUCCUACUCUGCCUGACCCCCCAAGGGAAGGUGUUGCUGGGGUUUGUGCGCAUGUUCUGUUGAGUAAUUGAACAUCUUUGAAAUAAAUAGACACAUACCCACCCCCACCCCCCACCCCAAUUAUCUCUGUGUCUUAAUUAGGCCCUCAUACUGUGCGGAGACCCUCCCUGGUGACAGUGUGUAAGUCUGUGACUGUGUGCAUGUUUGCAGGAGUAGUUUCUCUGGUGUAAUUCAGCUCUAGUUGUCCUCGCUUGCCAUGGGAUGUUCUGUCAGGCUGACUAAUUACCAACUGGUAUAAGAGUGUGUGUGUGUGCACAUGUGUAUGCGUGCAUUUACUGUGCAAUAAUGCAAUUCAGAGCACCUACUCUGUAUUAGUGAUCUCUGCUCUCACUGCAGCUUGGGGCAUCAAUAUUGAUCACUGUCCUGUCAACAUACCCAAUCAAGUUGGCCUCAGUCAAUGAUUCCUUAUUUUUAAAGAAUCGAUGCAUGGAAGACAGUGAACAUGUGACGGUGGGUAUACCUUUUUUUUUUUUUAAGUGCGAGUUCAUUAACUAAUACCCUCUUAUUUAUAUGUGUGUAUGGCUCUGUGUGUUUGUCUUUCCCAUUUGUGGUUUUGCUGUUCAAAUACAGCACUCCUUCAGACAGCUGAUUGACAGCAAGUCGCCCCCGUGGCAGAAAAUCCAUGGCCUUCUUCCCUCACCUUUACUCGGACUGCUGUCUCUCUGCUGCUGAUUUAUUGUGAUGCUAAUUUGAUUUUGGCUCACUGGCCUCCCACUUCUUUCUGCUGUUACCUUCGAGAGGGCUGGAUAAGUCUCCUUCUGCUGGUUUUGGCAUUAUACUAAAAAAAGUGAGAGUUUUUUUACGGGGAGGGAAAGUGACUUACUUUUUGUUUAAGAUGUACAGAUGGAAAUUAGAUUGUUUAUUAAACAAUGACUGAAGCUGAGGUCAUGUGAAGAGCUUUACAUUUUAAAGUAAGUGCGGUAAUGCGCGGUGACCCAGUUAUAUUGGACCGCAAUCAAAUAUAAAACCGAUCAAAAAAUUGAAAGCAGUAAUUGUUUUGGUCAGUCGAUGGAUUUAAUGGUCAGUGAUGACACUGUAUUAUGUAGUCUUGUCUAGAGUAUUGUGCAACAAAUUGUCAUUGUCUGAUUAUAUUUAUUGUUAUUCAUAUUAGUUGUUUUUUGUUCACCUCCUUUAUGUUUCUAAUUUCCCCAGUUCCUCUGUCACUCUGUACAUGUCCUCAUGUUUACCUGCGUUAUUUGUACUUUAGCUAUUUUCUGUUUUAUUUUGAAGGUUAAUGUUUUCAUUGGUAUUUCUCAUUGGUACUUCCUUUGUUAGAUUUCCCUCCUUGCUGAUUGUCUGACUUGCCCUUAGUGGUUCCAGCUGUUCUCAAUUACUUCCCUGUGUAUUUAAAAUCCUGUCUCUCCUUCAGUCUUUUGUCAGUCUGCUCUCCUUGUGCUUUUGUUCCUGUUUCCUGUGGUUGCCUUUCCUGGAUUCCUUUUUUCUUUGAAUCAAACCUCUUGUCAUUGUGUUUCUCUGUACUUUUUGUCUGUGUGUGUGUGUAUGUUUUUAUCGGCAUAUUAUUAAAAUUCAAAUUUUGUUGGCUCAAUCUGCUUCUUCUGUCUGCAUUUGGAUUUUGAUAACUCAUGACAUAAAUGUACAAUGCCUAAUGUGAAUGGGACACAGAAGGUCACAGCCCAUUGAGGCGAGGUCAAAGUCAUCUUAUAGCCCUUUUCCACUAGUACUUACUUGGCUCGCCUCAACUCUGCUUGACAAGGUUUUUAUGUUUCUCCAUUAAGUGGUAGUACGUGGAACCAGGUACUUUUUUAGUACCUACUCAGCCAGGGUUUUAAGCAAUCUGAGUCGACAAAAACGUGAAAUCUACAGACUGCAUGGCACCAAUUGGCCAAUCAGUGGCAUAAUUCAGUUAGUCAUGAGAGCUACUCCGUCACAAAAAUCAAAACUACCAUGAGGAAAAUGGCUAUACAAAAACCAAAUGUGACAAAAAAAACAUACUUCAAGCAGCAGGUAUACCAUCACCUCAACCUCCUCCACGGUUGUUUUGUGUUUGUGUCACAUAAUAAAUGAAUCACAGGCUUUUGAGCAUUUUGCUGUAACAAGCCCAAACACAUUGAGGUUGUACUCAGUUGUAAUGUAAAACUGAAUAAAGUCAAGCUGAGUAAGCCAAACAGGUACUAAUGGAAAUGGAAAAAGAGGCUUUAUUACUGUAUUAGACAGUGCAACUUACGCACAUGAAGGUUUGCAUCUAUAUUGUGACAACAUCAUUUUGUCUAGCAACCACCUAGCAUUUAUUCAAAUAAAACACCUUAAAUAAGCAUUGUAUCAUUUUUAUUUCACACCAGUGAUUUCUAAUUUAUAUCCCCCAAAACUUCACUUAAGCAUGAGAUAUUAUGACGCCAUUAGGCUGCCUGGCAACCACCUGGCAACAGGGUAAAAUGACCUGUUUUUUGCCUUCAUGCAUCUAAAGACAUUAAAAGCAUAGUCUAAUUUUAUUUCACUCCUAAGAUCACAAACACAUCAUAUUGUUUAAUUUCAUGACAGUAACAUCUCAUUUAUGUCCACAAAAACUGAAUUAUAUAUUACAUAACGUCAUCAUGUUAUCUACCAACCACCUAGCAAUGGGCUAAUAUGACUGUGGCAAAGGACCCAACGCACAAAACGUUGCAAGAGGGUUCAAUGCUUGUUUACAAUAGUUUUGUUUUUUUUAUCUCCACUUUUGUGGUUGUGCAGCUUUUCAGCUGAUGUCUGCAGCAUAGCACAACUAGCACACACAGCACCCCAUUAGGUCCUGGUGCCCUACUCAAAAUGAAAGGCAUGAUUAGAUGAUGGCGGUCAGGCUUGUGGUUCAGCCUCCCUUGACACCAGACCCUGAACCUGCUGCUCCCCCCCCUCCCUUACAGCUGAGCCACAAACCACACCCUGCCACAAUGACCCUUUUUUGCGUUUAUUCACCCACAGCACCUUAAAAAGCACUGUAUCAUUUAAUUCCACUAUCCACGUCACGAAAAGGCCAACGGUACUUGAGCAUAGACACUAGUGAUACAUAAUAAGUGGUUGCAAAUCUUUAGUGGUCAUUAACUGGCUGUAGUCUCCAACCCCUAGAGAUCAGCAGAUAAUUAGUAUCUUGCUUUGAGAAGCUCUCCUAGAUCAGCUUUUAUCUUGAAUCUAGAUUUUAGUAAAUGAAACACAUGCCCUACUGAAUUACA
rnacentral:lncRNA from 1 species